rnacentral:rRNA from 1 species
GCAGCGACGCCGCGUGAGGGAUGACGGCCUUCGGGUUGUAAACCUCUUUCGCCAAGGACGAAGCGAAAGUGACGGACUUUUUGGAGAAGAAGCGCCGGCCAACUACGUGCCAGCAGCCGCGGUAAGACGUAGGGCGCGAGCGUUGUCCGGAUUUAUUGGGCGUAAAGAGCUCGUAGGCGGCUCAUUGCGUCAACCGUGAAAUCCUGCUGCUCAACGGCAGGUCUGCGGUUGAUACGGGUGGGCUGGAGUUCGGUAGGGGAGACUGGAAUUCCUGGUGUAGCGGUGAAAUGCGCAGAUAUCAGGAGGAACACCGGUGGCGAAGGCGGGCCUCUGGGCCGAUACUGACGCUGAGGAGCGAAAGCGUGGGGAGCAAACAGGAUUAGAUACCCUGGUAGUCCACGCCGUAAACGAUGAGAACUAGGUGUCGUGGGUGUUGACCCCCGCGGUGCCGCAGCUAACGCAUUAAGUUCUCCGCCUGGGAAGUACGGUCGCAAGACUA